CCUACGGGCGGCUGCAGUGGGGAAUAUUGCACAAUGGGGGAAACCCUGAUGCAGCGACGCCGCGUGAGUGAGGAAGUAUUUCGGUAUGUAAAGCUCUAUCAGCAGGGAAGAAAAUGACGGUACCUGACUAAGAAGCCCCGGCUAACUACGUGCCAGCAGCCGCGGGAAUACGUAGGGGGCAAGCGUUAUCCGGAUUUACUGGGUGUAAAGGGAGCGUAGACGGCUAGUCAAGUCAGAAGUGAAAGCACAGGGCUCAACCUUGGGACUGCUUUUGAAACUGAGUAGCUAGAGUGCAGGAGAGGUAAGCGGAAUUCCUAGUGGAGCGGUGAAAUGCGUAGAUAUUAGGAGGAACACCAGUGGCGAAGGCGGCUUACUGGACUGUAACUGACGUUGAGGCUCGAAAGCGUGGGGAGCAAACAGGAUUAGAUACCCGGGUAGUC
rnacentral:rRNA from 1 species